CGGUCUUAUUAUAUAACUCGUAUACUUGAUUACAAGGAUAGAUGGAACUCAAAAAAAUUCUAAGCAAAGAAAAUCUGUAAUUUAUAUCUCUAAUUCAUGAAGGGAUAAUUAAUUCCAUGACCUUAGUUGUGUCACACUCGACAGGUUUGCCCCUAGUUUUGGAAAACCCUCAGUUUUCUCCAAAUCUGUUUGCUCCUCUUAUGGUUUUUCCCUUCCGUCACGUUUCCGUCCGGUGAGUGCCGCUUAACCGUGUGUUGACCGUGUGCGUAAUUUUCGCUCGACCAUUUUACCCAUGCCUCUUCAAUCUCUUGAGAUACAAUGCCAAUUGGGAGCAACCACUCUCCUUGCUCCCUUCUGUUUCUCUCCCAUAGGUCAAAUCCUAACCUGGAUCCCUCCCUCCUCUCUCUAAAAUCUCACGGGCUCUAGAUCCUAUCCAUGGCCCGUGAAGGGAGGCCAGCAGAGGUCCCGUUGGUGGUGGAGCCCUAGAACAUCGUCGGGGUUGGGCUCGAGCACAUCCAGGAGGAAAUCCGCCCCGAUCCACCACGUCUCCGUGCCCAAGGAGCAGGGAGCAACGCCAAGUUCGGUGGGGAGAGAUGGUGGAGCCAAGAUCUCGUCGGUAGGGAGAGACGGUGGAGGACGAUGGUGCAGCAGCGGCCGGUCAAUGGUGGAGCCAUAGAUCUCGUUGAUGGGGAGAGAUGGUGGAGGACGGUGACGUAGCUGCGGCCGAUCAAUGGCGGAGCCAUAGAUCUCGUCGGUGAGGAGAGAUGGUAGAGGACGGUGGCGCAAAAGCAAUAGCCUCCCUCGGGCCUCCUUCCACAUUGCAGGGUGGUGGCCAAGCGUCUGUCACGGGGACGCACGUGAGAGGAUGAUUUGUUGAGCGCUAGCGCGCCCGUGGUGGCCAAUCCGUUUGGCUCCGGCGAUCUCAUCAUCGUCCUACAUAGGGCGGCCUUUAAAUCAUUGAGUUGUAGUUUUUUUAAUACUUGACACAAUGUAAUUAGCUAGUAUAGCUAGCAACUAUGGAUUGUGUUAAUUAUCCAGUGUUUUAAUUAGUUCAUGAAGUGUUAACUAUUGCACAAAAAGUAAUGAAAAUUUUAUGUUAUGUUUACAAUA